GUGUUACUAAUGUAAUCUUUGUGCCUGUGGUCCCAGCUCUCUUCAGGUCAUUGACCAGGUCCUCCUGACUGAUCCGUGUAAAGGAAAGAAUGAAUGGGGCCAUGUAUCGUGAAAUUUUGAGUGAAAACCUGUGUAUUUGGUCCAUAACGUUCUGUUCAAUCAGACAAUGUGAUCUUCUGGAUUUUUUUUUUCUCGUUUUCUCUCGUUGAGGAGAACCUAUGAUGCAAAUUACAGGCCUCUCUCAUCUUUUUAAGUGGGAGAACUUGCGCAAUUGGUGAUUGACUAAAUACUUUUUUGCCCCACUAUAUGCUUCUGUUUCAAUUUGUUUGUUUAUUCAUUU